GACGAACGCUGGCGGCGUGCUUAACACAUGCAAGUCGAGCGGUAAGGCCCUUUCGGGGGUACGACGAGCGGCGAACGGGUGAGUAACACGUGGGUGACCUGCCCUCAGCUCUGGGAUAAGCCUGGGAAACCGGGUCUAAUACCGGAUAUGACUCCAUGACGCAUGUUGUGGGGUGGAAAGCCUUGUGCGGCUGAGGAUGGGCCCGCGGCCUAUCAGCUUGUUGGUGGGGUGAUGGCCCUACCAAGGCGACGACGGGUAGCCGGCCUGAGAGGGCGACCGGCCACACUGGGACUGAGACACGGCCCAGACUCCUACGGGAGGCAGC
rnacentral:rRNA from 1 species